rnacentral:rRNA from 1 species
UCCUACGGGGCGCAGCAGUGCGGAAUAUUGGUCAAUGGUCGGGAGACUGAACCAGCCAAGCCGCGUGAGGGAUGAAGGUACAGAGUAUCGUAAACCUCUUUUGUCAGGGAACAAAGGCGGGGACGUGUCCCCGGAUGAGUGUACCUGAAGAAAAAGCAUCGGCUAACUCCGUGCCAGCAGCCGCGGUAAUACGGAGGAUGCGAGCGUUAUCCGGAUUUAUUGGGUUUAAAGGGUGCGCAGGCGGUCUGUUAAGUCAGCGGUCAAAGCCCGGGGCUCAACCCCGGCCCGCCGUUUAAACUGGCAGG